AUGCGGAUAUAGUUUCCAUAUAAUUCAUCUCCUUGAUCAAAAUGCUCAUAGGACACCUCAGAGUUUAACUGUCAACUCUGAUCAGAUUGUCCACAUUGCAUUCCAAAAUAUCAAAUCUAUCUGAUGGAUUACUCUGGCCAAGGUUUUGCUAAAUUGAAAUACAGCGACUCAUUCUUCUCCAACUCUUGGAGUGGUCAAUCCCAUCUUGAUCACACUCUGACUUCGCAAGUACUUGACUGUGCCCAGAAGCCUUCCGUCACUAAAUUAGAAAUUCAGUUAGUCUAGUACCAAAGUACAGUGAGUUGCUUGCAAGUCAUUGAGGCGAUCUCAGAUCUAAGAGACACUUAUACC
rnacentral:lncRNA from 1 species